rnacentral:rRNA from 1 species
AUUGAACGCUGGCGGCAUGCUUUACACAUGCAAGUCGAACGAGGGGCGAACGGGUGAGUAAUAUAUCGGAACGUACCGAGUAAUGGGGGCUCACCCAUCGAAAGAUUGGCUAAUACCGCAUAUUACUCGCGCGGCCGAUAACUGAUUAUCUAGUUGGGGGGGUAAAGGCCUACCAAGGCGACGAUCAGUACAGGGUCUGAGAGGACGAGCCGCCACACUGGGACUGAGACACGGCCCAGACUCCUACGGGAGGCAGCAGUGGGGAAUUUUGGACAAUGGGGUCAACCCUGAUCCAGCCAUGCCGCGUGUAUGAAGAAGUCCUUCGGGUUGUAAAGUACUUUUGUUAGGGAAGCGGUACCUAAAGAAUAAGCACCGGCUAACUACGUGCCAGCAGCCGCGGUAAUUC